rnacentral:rRNA from 1 species
GGGAGCGUAGGCCGGAGAUUAAGCGUGUUGUGAAAUGUAGAUGCUCAACAUCUGAACUGCAGCGCGAACUGGUUUCCUUGAGUACGCACAAAGUGGGCGGAAUUCGUGGUGUAGCGGUGAAAUGCUUAGAUAUCACGAAGAACUCCGAUUGCGAAGGCAGCUCACUGGAGCGCAACUGACGCUGAAGCUCGAAAGUGCGGGUAUCGAACAGGAUUAGAUACCCUGGUAGUCCGCACGGUAAACGAUGGAUGCCCGCUGUUGGUCUGAAUAGGUCAGCGGCCAAGCGAAAGCAUUAAGCAUCCCACCUGGGGAGUACGCCGGCAACGGUGAAACUCAAAGGAAUUGACGGGGGCCCGCACAAGCGGAGGAACAUGUGGUUUAAUUCGAUGAUACGCGAGGAACCUUACCCGGGCUUGAAUUGCAGAGGAAGGAUUUGGAGACAAUGACGCCCUUCGGGGCCUCUGUGAAGGUGCUGCAUGGCU